UACGGGGGGGGUAAGCGUUGUUCGGAAUUACUGGGCGUAAAGGGCUCGUAGGCGGCCAACUAAGUCAGACGUGAAAUCCCUCAGCUUAACUGGGGAACUGCGUCCGAUACUGGAUGGCUUGGAUUCGGGAGAGGAAUGCGGAAUUCCAGGUGUAGCGGUGAAAUGCGUAGAUAUCUGGAGGAACACCGGUGGCGAAGGCGGCAUUCUGGACCGAUAUUGACGCUGAGGAGCGAAAGCCAGGGGAGCAAACGGG
rnacentral:rRNA from 1 species